rnacentral:rRNA from 1 species
GAUUGUAGUCUGCAACUCGACUACAUGAAGCCGGAAUCGCUAGUAAUCGCGGAUCAGAAUGCCGCGGUGAAUACGUUCCCGGGUCUUGUACACACCGCCCGUCACACCAUGGGAGCCGGAAAUGCCCGAAGUCAGUGACCCAACCAAUAAGGAGGGAGCUGCCGAAGGCAGGUCUGGUGACUGGGGUGAAGUCGUAACAAGGUACC